rnacentral:sRNA from 1 species
GGAAUCAGGAACUGGCCGGGGUCGGCACCGGGCCUGAGUCGGUCCGAGGCCGUCCCAGGAGCAGCUGCCCGCGCGGGACAGCACUAUGGGCUUCUCUUCUGAGCUGUGCAGCCCCCAGGGCCACGGGGUCCUGCAGCAGAUGCAGGAGGCCGAGCUUCGUCUACUGGAGGGCAUGAGAAAGUGGAUGGCCCAGCGGGUCAAGAGUGACAGGGAGUAUGCAGGACUGCUUCACCACAUGUCCCUACAGGACAGUGGGGGCCAGAGCCGUGCCAUCAGCCCUGACAGCCCCAUCAGCCAGGUGGGUCUCUAUGGGACUGUGGUGGGUGCUGGCUGUAUCUGCCUUCUCCUUCCUCUCCUGGGGGCCCUCUGGGGCAGUGGCUGGAGAUCUGGCAGGCCAAGGCUUGGGAGGCAUUGUGCCCCCCUCCCUGCCUCCCCUAUCUGUGCUGUAUAGUCCUGGGCCGAGAUCACCAGCCAAACUGAGGGCCUGAGCCGGUUGCUGCGGCAGCAUGCAGAGGAUCUGAACUCAGGGCCCCUGAGCAAGUUGAGCCUGCUCAUCCGGGAACGGCAGC